rnacentral:misc_RNA from 1 species
ACACCUCAACUCUCAUGGUUUGCCGUGAUGCGCUUGGACUUUGGGGGUCUUGCUGGCCUACGGUCAGCUCCCCUAAAAUGAAUCAGCUUGCCAGUGUUUGGUGGGAUCACAGGUGUGAUAACUAUCUACGCUUGUGGCCUUCCACCAAUUAACUUCCAGCAAUGGAGGUUCGCUGGAGCUCAUAAACGUCUCUCCUCAGCGAGGACAGCUCUUUUGAAU